CUCUGCUCGGCUGUCCCCGGAACGAUCUCUCUGGCGCGAGCAGGCGCGGAUUAGGCGGCGGCGCCGGAUCUGGGGAAGACGGGUGCGCACGGUUCGCAGCUGCAGGUAGCGCAGGUGCCUCCUCUCGGCUCUCGGGACUCGGCCUCAAUUGGGGAAAUCAGGAUCAGGGCCGGGGCAGCAGGCAGGCAGAGAGGUAGGUGGGGGGGGGGGGGGGGGGGGGGGGUUAGGAGCUGAGGCAAAGCCAGCCGAGGCGGAGGUGGAGAGGAGGGUGGGGAAGAGAGAGCUAGAGACAGAGAGAGCGAGACGACGCGAAAAGAGGAGGGAGAGGGAGGGAAAACAACAGCGCGUGUACAACUCAGGGACAGGGCAGCAGCGGAAUAUUUAUACCGAUAAAAAAAAACGCGGCAUGCGCGCGGGUGACGCCACGCGAUCACGGCACAGGAAACCAGGCAAUCCCGCCGCCGAGACGGAGCAAAAGGUUUUUUCGUUUUCUUGCCCAGCUCCGGUCCGGUUCGUUUCUUGCCGUGCGGUUUUGACCGUGGCAGG
rnacentral:lncRNA from 1 species